rnacentral:rRNA from 1 species
AGUUUGAUCAUGGCUCAGAGUGAACGUUGGCGGCGUGGAUUAGGCAUGCAAGUCGAGCGAUCGUAGCAAUACGGGAGCGGCAAACGGGGUAGGAAUACAUCGGAACGUACCUUUUGGUUGAGAAUAGCGUUGGGAAACUGACGGUAAUACUCAAUAAAGUCGAGAGACCAAAGGUUUACUGCCGGAAGAGCGGCCGAUGCGAUAUUAGGUAGUUGGUGGGGUAAUGGCCUACCAAGCCUGAGAUGUCUAGGGGGUGUGAGAGCAUGGCCCCCACCACUGGGACUGAGAUACUGCCCAGACACCUACGGGUGGCUGUAGUCGAGGAUCUUCGUCAAUGGGCGAAAGCCUGAACGAGCGACGCCGCGUGCGGGAUGAAGGCCCUUGGGUUGUAAACCGCUGUCAGGGGGGAUGAAACCGUAAGGUUGACAGAGCCCCAGAGGAAGCACGGGCUAAGUUCGUG